rnacentral:lncRNA from 1 species
CCUAAUUCUUCUCGGGACUUCGAUAGGAUCAAGUCCAUUGCAUUGAACCUAACCUAAAUCCAUUAGGGUUUAGCUGGGCACCUAAUUAUGAGCCCAAAAAGAUUGAAUUAAGUCAAUGAGUUAGCUAAAUUAUCUCCUCAUUAUCUUCUCAUUUAUUUCCUAUUAUUGUGUGUGGAAUUAAAGGAAACAAGAGAUGGCGCCAUGCAUCUCUUUUGAAAAUUCUUUUGGGUGCCAUCUCUUGGAUUGGCAUGAGGAAGAGAGAGGGGCCCACCCUCUCUUUUGCAUUGGUGUGAAAGG